rnacentral:rRNA from 1 species
GUGGGGAAUUUUGGACAAUGGGGGCAACCCUGAUCCAGCCAUGCCGCGUGCGGGAAGAAGGCCUUCGGGUUGUAAACCGCUUUUAGCUGGGAAGAAAAGGCAUCUCCUAAUACGGGGUGUUCUUGACGGUACCGGCGGAAUAAGCACCGGCUAACUACGUGCCAGCAGCCGCGGUAAUACGUAGGGUGCGAGCGUUAAUCGGAAUUACUGGGCGUAAAGCGUGCGUAGGCGGUUCGUUGUGUCUGCCGUGAAAGCCCCGGGCUCAACCUGGGAAUGGCGGUGGAAACUGGCGAGCUGGAGUGUGGCAGAGGGGGGUGGAAUUCCAGGUGUAGCAGUGAAAUGCGUAGAGAUCUGGAGGAACACCGAUGGCGAAGGCAGCCCCCUGGGCUGACACUGACGCUGAGGCACGAAAGCGUGGGGAGCAAACAGGAUUAGAAACCCCGGUAGUCC